UGGGGAAUAUUGGACAAUGGGCGAAAGCCUGAUCCAGCCAUGCCGCGUGAGUGAUGAAGGCCCUAGGGUUGUAAAGCUCUUUCGCCAGGGACGAUAAUGACGGUACCUGGAUAAGAAGCCCCGGCUAACUUCGUGCCAGCAGCCGCGGUAAUACGAAGGGGGCUAGCGUUGUUCGGAUUAACUGGGCGUAAAGCGCACGUAGGCGGAUCUUUAAGUCAGGGGUGAAAUCCCGAGGCUCAACCUCGGAACUGCCUUUGAUACUGGAGAUCUCGAGUUCGGGAGAGGUGAGUGGAACUGCGAGUGUAGAGGUGAAAUUCGUAGAUAUUCGCAAGAACACCAGUGGCGAAGGCGGCUCACUGGCCCGAUACUGACGCUGAGGUGCGAAAGCGUGGGGAGCAAACA
rnacentral:rRNA from 1 species